rnacentral:rRNA from 1 species
UGGGGAAUCUUCCGCAAUGGACGAAAGUCUGACGGAGCAACGCCGCGUGAGUGAAGAAGGUUUUCGGAUCGUAAAACUCUGUCUUUUGGGGCGAACGUGAGUAUGGUGAACAAUCAUAGUCAGUGACGGUACCAAAGGAGGAAGCCACGGCUAACUACGUGCCAGCAGCCGCGGUAAUACGUAGGUGGCAAGCGUUGUCCGGAAUUAUUGGGCGUAAAGAGCGCGUAGGCGGGAUAGUCAGUCUGUUGUAAAGUGCGGGGCUCAACCCCGUGAUGGCAAUGGAACAGCUAUUCUUGAGUGCAGGAGAGGAAAGGUGGAAUUCCCAGUGUAGCGGUGAAAUGCGUAGAUAUUGGGAGGAACACCAGUGGCGAAGGCGACUUUCUGGACUGUGUCUGACGCUGAGGCGCGAAAGCCAGGGGAGCGAACGGGAUUAGAUACCCCGGUAGUCCUGGCCGUAACGAUGGGUACUAGGUGUGGGAGGUAUCGACCCCUUCCGUGCCGGAGUUAACGCAAUAAGUACCCCGCCUGGGGAGUACGGUCGC